rnacentral:rRNA from 1 species
AGCGAACGCUAGCGGCGGGCCUAACACAUGCAAGUCGAGCGCAUACCUUCGGGUAUGAGCGGCGGACGGGUGAGUAACGCGUAGGUCAUCUACCCUUUGGUGGGGGAUAACCCAGGGAAACUUGGGCUAAUACCGCACGAGGUCUACGGAUCAAAGCCUUCGGGCGCCAGAGGAUGAGCCUGCGUCGCAUUACCUAGUUGGCGGGGUAACGGCCCACCAAGGGGACGAUGCGUAGCUGGUCUGAGAGGAUGAUCAGCCACACUGGGACUGAGACACGGCCCAGACCCU